rnacentral:misc_RNA from 1 species
CUUUUUGUGCAUAAUGUAUAUAUAGGGGGGUGGUAGUACUCUUGGGGUAGAGAGGCAUGUGCUGGGAUGGCAUGCCAAGGCAUGUGCUGGGAUGGCAUGCCUUGGUGUGUGCUGGGAUGGCAUGCCAAGGACAAGCAUGUGCUAGGAAGGCAUGCCAAGGCCAAGGCAAGCACAGGCAUUGUGAGCGAGACGAGACGGUUAUGAUUACCCCAAGAGUGCCCAAGGGAGAGGAAGGUGUCAAACGCAUGCUGAGCCCCACUUCGGUAGUUUGGCACCCCCAUAGGCAUUCAGGCAAGCGUGCCUAUGGGAGAAGUCGCUAGAGCUUGCCAACACCCAUGUUAGCUGUAGUCUGGACCGAUGAUGGCACAAGGAUGCUUGCUUUAAGGUAACGUUCCGGCAGCACAGCCAGCCCGCAAUUGCUAGUUCAAGCGGGUGGAAUCUGCCUAUAGGGGUGUUGCUUGCUUGCUGUGAAUUUGGGACACGCCCAAUAUCUAUCAUCAACCGAACGAAGUGCUCAACAUGGGUUGCUGGGGGCUAUUUUGGCACUGACGGUUCACUUGUUUGCUUGGGUCUGAUAAACGUUUAGAUGUGAUGAUGCUUGGGAUCCAAUAAAUUUAUGUGGGAAGCUGAGAGCUGGAACCCAAUGUCAUUCACCAGACGGCUUAGCUUCGUCAGUGUGUAUAGUAUGUCAUUGAACCCCAAUCCUUGAUGCCAACCUGAUUAUGACUUUUGGAUCGCAAUUAUCAUGGCUAUCAAAAACUGAGUAGGAGUCAUGGAAUAAGUGAACAAUUUGUAGCCUUUAUAGCUGUCAGCUUUCGCAUCGCCCGGUUUGUUUUGGGAAUCGCUUUGUGCAUUUGGUUGCCUGCCGUGCCUCUUGGCAUACGGUGGGUGCCAAUUGCUGGGUGGUUUUCGGAAACAUCCACCGUAAAGGUGCAUGAGUGGUGUUUGGUUUGUUACGGGUGGUUGGCUCUUUGCUUGCGCAACAACUGUCACCCGACUUACCUCUUCAGAUGUUUGCCUAGGCUUGUAUAGCCUAAGCAGAUUGUGGGUUUCCUGUGUUGCCUACCUACGUCAUGGAAUUGUCCUGAUCGAUCAAAGUUGCUUUCGUCUUGUGUCGUCUUGAUGGCAUAAGAUGAACCAUGAAGCUGUCUCUUUGCACCGCAUCGUUAAUGCAUGCGUUGAUGUUGUGGCCCAUUGAGCAUUGCUUGGUACCUUGGAUACGGAACCUUAUGUGGGCAUGGGGUCCUUGGGGAUCCUUGUUUUGCCCUCGUUUAGCGUUCGCGCUUCUCUUAGAAUGACUGCCUAGCCGGAAUGGAAACCCAUUGUGGAUGGGCAUCGUCAAAGAGGAAUGC